rnacentral:lncRNA from 1 species
CUUCCAUAUACAUGAAUAAGAUAGACACUGAAUGGACACUGGAGAUGCAGGUCAUUCCAACCAGGUACGCAGGAAAAGCAUCUGUCAGAGUCAGACGGCUUGUUGCAGGAUUGCUACAAACAGACCCUCUCCUUGGAGCUAAAUCCAGUGCUUCCCACAAACAUCCCAACAUGGGUCUGGCCAUCGGGCAGUGUUAGAAUCCAGCCAACCAAACCCACCUUCCCGGGUCAGCAGGCACCAGCCACCUCUAGAUCAAUUUCGUUCCGUCUGCUUUUAAAUAAUCGCUGUUCAUUUUUGUUUGUUUUUAUAUUUGUUUGUUAAUAUAGAUAUAAUCUUUGCCCCACAAAUCAAUAAUCUAGUUUUAUUCCACGAACAUUUUAUUAAAAACACUCUGCUUUAUUUUCCACCUAAAAAUGAGAUACAUCAAAUGUUUCUUUGUCAAUGUAGUACUGAAUUGAAAAACAGUGGUAUUAUAAUUACUGGUUACAAUUUUAAGAAAAUUUAAGUUGGGUAAAUUUUGGAAAGGGCGAUUAAAAACAUGUCUUCUAGCACAAAAAUGAGAAGAAAAACUCUUCUGGGAAUAUUAUACUCUUGUAUUUUUAUUUGUACAAAACUGCAGCCGUCAGCGGUAGGAAGCGUUUUGUCCCUCAGUCAG